rnacentral:lncRNA from 1 species
AAAAAUCCAUCACAUUUAAAUUAAAUUCAUAUAGUUAAGGCUUUUACUCCAAAAAGCAUUAUAAUGAAAAUAAAAUAUUAUAAAAUUUCAAAACACAUCAAAACAUCAAAAUUUCAAAAUCAAAAAUAAUUUAAUGAUUCAAAAACAUCAAGAUGUAAGUUGAUGAAAAAUGAUUUUUAGAAAUUCAACAAAAAUUGACACCAAUUUGUCGUAACACGUUCAAAAUAGAGAUUUAACUAAUAUGGCACCGGGGGUGGCUCUUUGAGCAUCUUUUCAACUUACCACCUUAUAACUCCGAAAUUUCUAAUAUACUUAUUUUUUUUCAACCUUUUUCGGCUUUUUCAAUUAAAUUCCAUGUGGUAGCUUCACACACUUGCCGGACGACCGGGGUGGUAGCUCUUUCCUACAUGUGGUGGUAGUUUUCACACUCCUUUUAGGAUGUAACUCUUUCCACAUCUUUUACAUAUAGGAGUUUCUUUUUCUCCUCUUUUUUUAUUUUUAAACAAUUUCAAACUCCCCCUAA